UACGUAGGGGGCGAGCGUUGUCCGGAUUUAUUGGGCGUAAAGAGCGUGUAGGCGGCCAGGUAGGUCUGCUGUGAAAACUCGAGGCUCAACCUCGAGACGUCGGCGGAAACCACCUGGCUAGAGUCCGGAAGAGGAGAGUGGAAUUCCUGGUGUAGCGGUGAAAUGCGCAGAUAUCGGGAGGAACACCAGAGGCGAAGGCGGCGAACUGGACAGUAACUGACACUCAACUGCGAAAGCGUGGGGAGCAAACAGG
rnacentral:rRNA from 1 species